AUAAAAAAUCAAGCUUCUCUGCCUUCUCCCAGUGCCAACUAGAAACAACCAGUCAGAGCCAGGAGGUGGGUCUUAGCGUUGUCAAUCAUCCUGUGUGGUGCAGCUAAUCCCUCCUUCAUGUAUCUAGUUAGCAUAGCCGCAGAUGACGGUGGAUAAAUGUUUUCCUGUAGCAGUAAGUUGUUUCUCAGCCAUUAGCACACUUAGCAAGUACACAAAUAUGAUUGACAGCGCCAAGCCCCUCCUCCUGGCUCUGAUUGGCUGGUCUUGGUCAGAGGUGGUGCAUCUCUUCAGAAAGCAGUGUUAGCUCAGGUGGAGGAGAUACAUUUUUUCACAGAUUUUCUGUCUUGUAGCAAACCGUCACAACAUGGUGGAAGUUUCAACAAAUGUUUAUAAAACAUUUUUCAUAGAAGUUGUACACUGCAGCUUUAAAUGUAUAAAGUGAGGGUUAUUUUUGUGAUGGAUUAGAACUACACUGUGCACAUACAUUAAACAUUCCAACACAAAGACUUUUAAAAACCUCCCUACAGGUAUAUAAAACUGAGUAGAAAAACAUAACAAAGCAGGUUGGAUCCACGUAAGAACUGACUGGGUGAAACAUUUCAUUUUAAAUACCACAGUUUCCUCUGGUUUAAUUAACAUUGACAUCAAGGCAAAAGGAUGCUCUUUACCAAACACAGUUUACAUGAAACCACUCCUAAUUUUGCAGAAUAAACCCUUCCACUGACCCACAGAUGAACCGCUCUCUUCAACGCUGAAACAGUCGGCUCAUCAUCCUCCGAAUUUAAAGGCUGGUGGGAGGAAAAACUUGCUCUCAGACAGAAAUUGCACACUAUUAUCAAAUUGCACCUCCAACACAGAAAUUGCACUCAUUACUGAAAGCCUGCACAACGUGGCAGCUUCCAUUGUCCAAGAGCCAACCCCAUCCUCCACUCUCCCAAAUUCACUUGGCACUGAGCAGGCCGCUCCUGCUGGGCUGAAAUGGCACCGAGUGAUAAGAAAAUCUAACCUAAACUGGUUUUCCACUCAGAGACCAGAGAAGGCCAGGCAUUAAAAGAAAUCUGCUUUUUAAAGGGAAGGCAGAGACUCGAAUGGUGAUUUGAUAAUCGACAUGUUUGCCUGAGUUCACACUGGGCUUCAGUUUGGUUCAAGUUGAGGGGAAAAGUGGCCCCAAUUAUGCUUUAAUGAACAGCUGCGCUAUAUUCAGGUUACUUUAUUUGUAGAGUUUUGUAGAAUUCACUGUUAUGAGGAAUGUACUUGUUCAGCUAUGUUGGUAAAAGUAGUUUAAAUGAGAGUUUUUCCUCAUGCAAUGGGUGUUGGAGAUACAAAUGAAAUUCCUGCUAAAAUAUGUUUCAUAAUUGUCCUGUAAUUGGUGGUUUUGGCGCCCCCUACUGGUUGCCUAUAAAUUCUAUGAGAAACCGAGAACUCCUCGCAGUCGGUUCAGCGCUCUGCUGUGAUCGUUAAGUUGACCAGUGGGGAGGCUAACUGCGCCAUUUGUGUUUGUCAACCACCAAUUGCAGUAAAUCGCCUAAAAUCCAACCGACUGGCCUCCGCUGUGUGCAUGGCGGGACGGGUAAGAGGAGCCGUCACACUCACUGAAACAUUUUAGAUUUUAAUUUGUAUCACUAAACAUUCAAUGGAAAAUGUGGGUUUGAUUUUAAACUGGACUGGGAAUUAAUCUGAAUUAACUGGACUACAAUGAGCUGGAUUCAGACUUAAUCUGACUAAAUGAAACGCUAGUCACUAUUCUGAUAUGUAACGACAGUCCCUGACAAAAUGCAAUGUCUCAGUCAUUGACUGUCUUCUAUGACUUUGUAUUUUUAUGAUGUAAAGUACUCUGACCUGCCUGGUGGCUGAAAUGUGCUGUGUAACAGGGUUUUAUUCAACUAUAUUAUGGAUGUGAAGUUUGUCAAAAUGUUGGUUUAUUUUAAUUUAUUUUGUUUAGUCAAGUUGUUUCUUCAGACAGACAUUUAUUGGUGUUAAGUUCUGCUACACUGCUCUUGGCAGUUGGUGGUUACCAUAGCGACGAGUACCUGGGUAGCUCCUCCCCUUUUUCUGUUGCCGUUGGUAACUGUGGUUUGUAUUAGAAUCAGUUCUGUUUUCUUUACAAGUAUUAUAUUUUAUUUAAACAAUUUAAUAACAUACAGAAUUUCAUGAGUAAUUUUGAUAUGUUUUUAACUGUUAUUAUUUAUGUUGUCCAUUUUAGCUGUAUUUGAUUUCACAAAUGUUAGCUGCUGCUAACUGGGAGCCAUUGCUCUGUAGUUUAGGGUUUUUACAUUGUGUUUAAUGUAUAUGGGCAGAAGCCGCUGAACUGAUGCUAAACGCCAACUUGAUUUUCUCUCAGAAUAAAUAGAGAACCUGAAUGUGUCUGUUAUGAAGUCAACAAACUGAACCUGAGACAAACAUAAAAGGGUCACAUUAUACCAAUAAAACUGAUUGAUUUCACUGAAGAUGACUCUGCAGUGAUUUCAGUUUUUAAUUUGGCAAGCACACCAAAGUUAAAAUUUCUGGGUCAAAAGUCAAAAUCUGUUAUAAAAUCCUGGAUGUUUAAGUUUUCAUGACCUUAAAGCAGCUUUUGAAUCAGUUUUCAGGAUUCAAUCUUUGAGUCAGCAUAAAAACAUUCAGUCAUCACAGUCGAAUUUUAUCAACAUUUCCUUAUUAAAAACUGAAUGUUAUGUUCAUGUAAAUUAAUUUGAAUCCAUGUGGAUGAGAAUAUAAGUGAUUAUAGACUUAACCCAGAAAACUGGACUUAACAUGAGUUUUAGAUAUGCAAACUCAUUGCAACUUAAAUAUUGAACAUUAGUUUGCAUUUAUAAGAAACUAUCUAAAUUACACCAAUCCUUCUGGGUUUCUAAUGUCAGUGACUACACUCACAGAUGAGGAAAACGUUACAUAUGGAAAUAUUAUUUAACCUCUGCUGUUCUCUCUAAACAGAUUAAAGUAGCUGAUAAUAAUUAUAGUCAGACCCUAAAGAUCUUAGGGAAUGAUGGGACAUUAUAAUUUACAGAUUAAGCCAUGUGAGAGCCACAGCUUCUGCCUUGUUUAUAAUUCAACACAACGAACCUUAACUUGUGAUAUUUUGUAUUGAAAGCACUUGAAUAGAAAAAAAUAGCUAAUUGUUUGAACAUUUUAUAAGCUAAACUAUUUCUAAUCAUAAAUUGUUGAACUCUUAAAUAAAGCCCAGUGUGAACCUGCUUGUUGUCAGGAUUACCUGAAAAAUGCCCGUAUUUAAUGUCACAUCCAGAGUUUUUUUUAAUCAAACACUGGAUCCGAUUUAGCACUUAGCAGUGUGUCGAACAGCGUGUGUUCGGCGGUACUGGUCCUGAGUCGGCGGCUGUGUGAGCAGAUUUUACCAUCCUGAUUAUUCCAGAGAACUCUGCGGGUCACCGACCCGGCAGUU